rnacentral:rRNA from 1 species
AUUGAACGCUGGCGGCAGGCCUAACACAUGCAAGUCGAGCGGAGCGGCGGACGGGUGAGUAAUGCCUAGGAAUCUGCCUGGUAGUGGGGGAUAACGUUCGGAAACGGGCGCUAAUACCGCAUCCUAUCAGAUGAGCCUAGGUCGGAUUAGCUAGUGGGUGGGGUAAAGGUCUAACAAGGCGACGAUCCGUAACUGGUCUGAGAGGAUGAUCAGUCACACUGGAACUGAGACACGGGCCAGACUCCUACGGGAGGCAGCAGUGGGGAAUAUUGGACAAUGGGCGAAAGCCUGAUCCAGCCAUGCCGCGUGUGUGAAGAAGGUCUUCGGAUUGUAAAGCACUUUAAGUUGGGAGGCGUUACCAGCAGAAUAAGCACCGGCUAACUUCGUGCCAGCCGCCGCGGUAAUUC